GUCUAUGGCCAUGCCACCCUGAACAAGCCCAAUCCUGUCUGAUCUCGGAAGCUAAGAAGGGUUGGGCCUGGUUAGUACUUGGAUAGGAGACCAUUAAAAACUAAAUAAAAAAUGAAAAAUAAAGAAUCGUAAGCC
rnacentral:rRNA from 1 species